rnacentral:rRNA from 1 species
GGAAUGGAUAAGCGCUGAAAGCAUCUAAGCGCGAAGCCAACUUCAAGAUAAGAUUUCCCACCGCAAGGGUAAGACCCCAGAAAGACUAUCUGGUUGAUAGGUCGAAGGUGUAAGUGCAGCAAUGUAUUUAGCUUAUCGAUACUAAUAGGUCGAGGACUUGACCAAGAUUUAUUUGAUGUUAUUCAUUAAGAUAUAUGUGUAGUUUUUAGAGUGUUAACUCUAUGUAAAGUACUAACUUCAAUUGAUGAAGUAUAUAUCGUAAAAACAAUUACUAUUUAGUACUUCAAAACUAUUGACAUUUAAAAAUAAAGAUGUUAAUAUAAUACUUGUCUUAUAAAUAGGCAAUAUGUGGUUAUAAUAGCAAAGAGGAUACACCUGUUCCCAUUCCGAACACAGAAGUUAAGCUCUUUAGCGCUGAUGGUACUUGGUGGGAAACUGCCUGGGAGAGUAGGACGUAGCCACGUGAAUAUUCCAAGGUAGCUCAAUGGUGGAGCAACCGGCUGUUAACCGGUAGGCUGUGGGUUCGAGCCCCACCCUUGGAGCCAAAAAAAGCCGAAGUGGCGGAACUGGCAGACGCACAGGACUUAAAAUCCUGCGGGACUUACCUCUCGUACCGGUUCGAUUCCGGUCUUCGGCACUUAUAAAACAAUAUCGCGGAGUGGAGCAGUUGGCAGCUCGUCGGGCUCAUAACCCGAAGGUCGUAGGUUCAAGUCCUGCCUCCGCAACCAUUAAAAUGGCUCGUUGGUCAAGAGGUUAAGACACCGCCCUUUCACGGCGGUAACAGGGGUUCAAUUCCCCUACGAGUCACCAAUUAAAUAUGCGGGUGUAGCUCAAUGGUAGAGUUCUGGCCUUCCAAGCCAGCUGUGAGGGUUCGAUCCCCUUCACCCGCUCCAAAAAUGGGACCAUAGCUCAGCUGGGAGANAUGAAUCUGGUCUUGGGACACUGUCAGGUGGGCAGUUUGACUGGGGCGGUCGCCUCCCAAAAGGUAACGGAGGCGCUCAAAGGUUCUCUCAGUACGGUCGGAAAUCGUACGUAGAGUGUAAAGGCAAAAGAGAGCUUGAUUGCAAGACAUACAGGUCGAGCAAGGAUGAAAAUCGGACUUAGUGAUCCGGUGGUUCUGCGUGGAAGGGCCAUCGCUCAACGGAUAAAAGCUACCCUGGGGAUAACAGGCUUAUCUCCCCCAAGAGUCCACAUCGACGGGGAGGUUUGGCACCUCGAUGUCGGCUCAUCACAUCCUGGGGCUGUAGUAGGUCCCAAGGGUUGGGCUGUUCGCCCAUUAAAGUGGUACGCGAGCUGGGUUCAGAACGUCGUGAGACAGUUCGGUCCCUAUCCGUCGCAGGCGUAGGAAAUUUGAGAAGACCUGUCCUUAGUACGAGAGGACCGGGAUGGACGUACCUCUGGUGUACCAGUUGUCCUGCCAAGGGCAUGGCUGGGUAGCUAUGUGCGGAAUGGAUAAGCGCUGAAAGCAUCUAAGCGCGAAGCCAACUUCAAGAUAAGAUUUCCCACCGCAAGGGUAAGACCCCAGAAAGACUAUCUGGUUGAUAGGUCGAAGGUGUAAGUGCAGCAAUGUAUUUAGCUUAUCGAUACUAAUAGGUCGAGGACUUGACC